rnacentral:rRNA from 1 species
GAUGAACGCUGGCGGCGUGCUUAACACAUGCAAGUCGAACGAUGAAGCCCAGCUUGCUGGGUGGAUUAGUGGCGAACGGGUGAGUAACACGUGAGUAACCUGCCCUUAACUCUGGGAUAAGCCUGGGAAACUGGGUCUAAUACCGGAUAGGAGCGCCUACCGCAUGGUGGGUGUUGGAAAGAUUUAUCGGUUUUGGAUGGACUCGCGGCCUAUCAGCUUGUUGGUGAGGUAAUGGCUCACCAAGGCGACGACGGGUAGCCGGCCUGAGAGGGUGACCGGCCACACUGGGACUGAGACACGGCCCAGACUCCUACGGGAGGCAGCAGUGGGGAAGAUUGCACAAUGGGCGAAAGCCUGAUGCAGCGACGCCGCGUGAGGGAUGACGGCCUUCGGGUUGUAAACCUCUUUCAGUAGGGAAGAAGCGAAAGUGACGGUACCUGCAGAAGAAGCACCGGCUAACUACGUG